rnacentral:rRNA from 1 species
AGAGUUUGAUCCUGGCUCAGGAUGAACGCUAGCGGCAGGCCUAAUACAUGCAAGUCGAGGGGUAUAUUACUUUCGGGUAAUAGAGACCGGCGGACGGGUGCGUAACGCGUAUGCAACCUACCUUUUACUGGGGCAUAGCCCGGGGAAACCCGGAUUAAUACCUCAUAGUAUUGUUUGAUGGCAUCUGAAGACAAUUAAAGAUUUAUUGGUAAAAGAUGGGCAUGCGUAAGAUUAGCUAGUUGGUGUGGUAAUGGCGCACCAAGGCGACGAUCUUUAGGGGGUCUGAGAGGAUGAUCCCCCACACUGGUACUGAGAUACGGACCAGACUCCUACGGGAGGCAGCAGUAGGGAAUAUUGGUCAAUGGGCGAGAGCCUGAACCAGCCAUGCCGCGUGCAGGAAGACGGCCUUCUGGGUUGUAAACUGCUUUUAUACGGGAAGAAAAGGCCCUUGCGAGGGACAUUGCCGGUACCGUAUGAAUAAGCACCGGCUAACUCCGUGCCAGCAGCCGCGGUAAUACGGAGGGUGCAAGCGUUGUCCGGAUUUAUUGGGUUUAAAGGGUACGUAGGCGGCCGUUUAAGUCAGUGGUGAAAUCCCGCAGCUCAACUGUGGAACUGCCAUUGAUACUGGACGGCUUGAGUACUGUUAAGGUAGGCGGAAUUGAUGGUGUAGCGGUGAAAUGCAUAGAUACCAUCA